AGAGUUUGAUCCUGGCUCAGAACGUACGCUGGCGGCACGCCUAACACAUGCAAGUCGAACGAAGUAGCAAUACUUAGUGGCAGACGGGUGAGUAACAUGUAGGUAUCUGCCCUUUGGCCUGGAAUAACACGAGGAAACUUGUGCUAAUACCGGAUAAGUCUUUACGGAGAAAGCUUUAUGCACCAUUGGAUGAGCCUGCACUUGAUUAGUUUGUUGGUGGGGUAAUGGCCUACCAAGACUGUGAUCAAUAGCUGAUUUGAGAGGAUGAUCAGCCACAUUGGGACUGAGACACGGCCCAAACUCCUACGGGAGGCAGCAGUGGGGAAUCUUGCACAAUGGAGGAAACUCUGAUGCAGCGAUGCCGCGUGAGUGAAGAAGGCCUUUGGGUUGUAAAGCUCUUUCGUCGGGGAAGAAAAUGACUGUACCCGAAUAAGAAGGUCCGGCUAACUUCGUGCCAGCAGCCGCGGUAAUACGAAGGGACCUAGCGUAGUUCGGAAUUACUGGGCUUAAAGAGUUCGUAGGUGGUUGAAAAAGUUAGUGGUGAAAUCCCAGAGCUUAACUCUGGAACUGCCAUUAAAACUUUUCAGCUAGAGUAUGAUAGAGGAAAGCAGAAUUUCUAGUGUAGAGGUGAAAUUCGUAGAUAUUAGAAAGAAUACCAAUUGCGAAGGCAGCUUUCUGGAUCAUUACUGACACUGAGGAACGAAAGCAUGGGUAGCGAAGAGGAUUAGAUACCCUCGUAGUCCAUGCCGUAAACGAUGUGUGUUAGACGUUGGAAAUUUAUUUUCAGUGUCGCAGGGAAACCGAUAAACACACCGCCUGGGGAGUACGACCGCAAGGUUAAAACUCAAAUGAAUUGACGGGGACCCGCACAAGUAGUGGAGCAUGUGGUUUAAUUCGAAGAUACGCGCAGAACCUUACCAACACUUGACAUGUUCGUCGCGACUCUAAGAGAUUAGAGUUUUCGGUUCGGCCGGACGAAACACAGGUGCUGCAUGGCUGUCGUCAGCUCGUGUCGUGAGAUGUUGGGUUAAGUCCCGCAACGAGCGCAACCCUCACUUUUAGUUGCCAUCAUUAAGUUGGGCACUCUGAAAGAACUGCCAGUGAUAAGCUGGAGGAAGGUGGGGAUGACGUCAAGUCCUCAUGGCCCUUACGUGUUGGGCUACACACGUGCUACAAUGGUAUCUACAACAGGAAGCAAGACUGCGAAGUUAAGCAAAUCCCUAAAAGAUACCUCAGUUCGGAUUGCACUCUGCAACUCGAGUGCAUGAAGCUGGAAUUACUAGUAAUCGUGGAUCAGCGUGCCACGGUGAAUGCGUUCCCGGGUCUUGUACACACCGCCCGUCACACCAUGGGAGUUGGUUCUACCUUAAGGCAAGGUUUUAAACCCUUGACCACGGUAUAGUCAGCGACUGGGGUGAAGUCGUAACAAGGUAACC
rnacentral:rRNA from 2 species